GACGAACGCUGGCGGCGUGCUUAACACAUGCCAGUCGAACGGAAAGGCCCUGCUUUUGUGGGGUGCUCGUGUGGCGAACGGGUGUGUAACACGUGAGUAACCUGCCCUUGACUUUGGGAUAACUUCAGGAAACUGGGGCUAAUACCGGAUAGGAGCUCCUGCUGCAUGGUGGGGGUUGGAAAGUUUCGGCGGUUGGGGAUGGACUCGCGGCUUAUCAGCUUGUUUGUGGGGUAGUGGCUUACCAAGGCUUUGACGGGUAGCCGGCAUGGGAGGGUGACCGGCGACAUUGGGAAUGAGAUAAGGACCAGACGGGUACGGGAGGCAGCAGUGGGGAAUAUUGCACAAUGGGCGGAAGCCUGAUGCAGCAACGCGGCGUGCGGGAUGACGGCCUUCGGGUUGUAAACAGCUUUAGCAUGUGACGAAGCGUGAGUGACGGUAAUGGGUAAAGAAGCACCGGCUAACUACGUG
rnacentral:rRNA from 1 species